rnacentral:rRNA from 1 species
UACGUAGGGGCAAGCGUUGUCCGGAAUUAUUGGGCGUAAAGGGCGCGUAGGCGGGACCUUAAGUCAGGUGUGAAAACUGCAGGCUUAACCUGUAGAUUGCAUCUGAUACUGGGGUUCUUGAGUGCAGGAGAGGACAGUGGAAUUCCUAGUGUAGCGGUGAAAUGCGUAGAUAUUAGGAGGAACACCAGUGGCGAAGGCGGCUGUCUGGACUGUAACUGACGCUGAGGCGCGAAAGCGUGGGGAGCAAACAGGAUUAGAUACCCCCGUAGU